rnacentral:lncRNA from 1 species
UAUAACUGUUAAUAUAACCUUGUAUUUUAUUUUAUCAUAUUUUAUUUUUAACUUCUUGCGUUUAAUUUUUGUCUUUCUGAAACCAAAAUGAAUUCAUGAAUCUAUUAACAUUCUAAGGGAGUAUUCUGCAGCAGAGCCUAAAUUGAAUAAGCAGGAAAAUGUGAAACUUUGUAUUGCUGAGGGACGGAAGAACUCUAUCAUUAGCUAUUUUUGGUAAGGUUAUUGAAAAUGCAGUCCAGAUUUUCAGUUUCAUCUUUUGUCUGUUUGGUUUGGUUUGUCACUUACUACCCUGUCUAUGGUUUCUUAAUCUACAUACAUCUUUCUUUGACAGGGAUAAUUCAGAUUCGGAUGAAGCAGGAAUUCCUAAGAACGUUUGCUGAAUACAGAGAAGAUUAAAUGUGUUCAAGACAGAUUUUUCCUCAACUUCAUGUCAUUCUUAUCUCAAAGAAAAUAUGUCUCCUGCCCGAAAUUAAUCCCAUCAAAACCAUGUAUGGAUAGUAUCUGUGAACAAGGGUGUAAGCCAAGAAGUCUCUGGUCUCUUGAAGCAGUUGGACAAGUUCCAUCCUCCUCUAAAGGUGAAGUCAGUAAAUAUGAAGGAUAAACAACCUACAUUUGCUGGAGGUAAAUGGUUUGGCUGGGACUGUGCUGUCAUGCUAUUUAUUUCUCACAAUAAUUAUAUGAAGUAGUAUUGUUAUUUUCAUUUUACAGAUGAGAAAGUUAAUACUCAGAAGAUUUGGCAAUUUGACAAAGUCAGAUAGCUGAUAAAUUCCUAAGCUAGACAUGAAACACCAAAACCUUUGUUCCUACCAUAAUACCAAUAUUUUUUAUUUAAUACGGUAGCACACAUUUCCACAAGAAAAGCUUCCUUUCCAGCUCUCUGUUAUAAUCCGUUUUUUCUUGACAUUAUUUUCAAAUUCGAUUGGCUGGUUUCCAGGUCUCUAGGGAGGAAAUUGAAAAUAGAGAAUGUUGAAUAGAUACUGAUGGCAGCAAGAAACUACUUGUCUAUAGACCCCAGAGUGAGAGAGGAGAUAAAAGAAUAAUUAAAAAGCAAAUUAAAUGUACUAAUUCUAAUAAAAAUUAUAAUACAUAGCUCUAUAAUCUCUGA